AAUGCAAGGCGAAAGGCCUUGAUUCUCCAAGGUCCCAUUUCUCAACACUGAUCCAUCAGAAAUAUCGAAGACAAGCUGUUGACAGUCAACAAACAGAAAGAGUUGCUGUGAAAGAACCUUCUCUCCAUCUCAGAGCUGCAGGGCUCCAAGCGUCCCGUUGCCGUCUCCCAUUACCCGGACAGAGUCAGUGCCAGGCCAGAUCACUUCAAGGGACCCGCCUUCUGUGCCAAUCUCCCAGCUUUCACAGGCCUCUGUCCAGCAGUGGAUCAAACACCUAGUAACUCACCCAGGGGCAGAGGUAUUACAUGGAGGAUCUCGAGACAGACAUGGGAGUGGAUGAUAAGAACCAAUGAGGCGCAUUUUCCAUCGUGAGGAUGUUACAUACACAUCACCAGUAUAUGCUUCAGCCACGAAUGUAUAUCCUUUCUACAGGAAAAAAGAAUUACACAGAAAGCUUAUGACCACCACCAAGAGCCAUCUAGAGCCACCACCUUGAGGACUGGAUGGACAGAAUUAACUUAAGGACCAAUCAGACUAGUUAAAGAGUUUUUCUCAGGGAGUACUAGAAGAUGUGCACCACCUAAAUGAGGGUAUCAAGUAGCAGGAGAGCAUCGUUUCCAAGAAUUAGAAAAUCCAUCAGAGGAGAGAGAGAAAAGAAAGUCCAAUGAUGACAGGUGCAAGCUUCCAUCAGCUGGAACAAGAGCAAGAGAGCAAAGGAUUCCAGAGGGUGAUAUCUCCAGGAAAACAGGUGGCAUUGGUAAUCUGAUGUGUUUGUGUGGUAAAUGGGGUUUAAAGGUAUUUGUUCAAUGGUGUUCCUUUUUCUUAAAAAAGAGUGUUUGGGAAGGCUUCCUAAUGUGUCAUAGAAAAAAAAUGAAGUAAUUGGUUUGUACAAAAAGUUGUGUAAGAAAAGAAAUUUGUCUCUCCAAUAAAAAUCCUUCCACAGCUAGAAUAUUUUUUAACGGAAGAAUACUUUUCUUUAUUACCAUCCUUCUAUUACAGCUUGAAGUAAUGAUGAAGGUGGAAACGGAAACAGGUAAAUAAUUAAUGCCUGACUUGCACUAAAUAUUAAUUCCUAAGGAAGGUCUGAAAACAGGCCUAUUGUCCCUAAUAUUUGUAUCUAUCUUAAGGGCAAAGGUAGGGUAAUUUUGCUGUUUAAAAACAUGAACUAUAUUAGGCUCGGCUAGUCUGAGAUAACAAACCAAUCCUGAAAUUUCAAUGGCUUAACACAUAGGGUUAACUUCUCCCUCAUAUUCAGCCUAUUUUGGGGGGCUCCUUUUCAAGGGAUUCCUUUCCCAGUUGUGAUGUAGGGAUCUAGAAACUUGUAUCUUGUAGCCUUGCCACCGGGAUACGCAGUUUCCUGAUGGUUGUGGGAGAAGCAGAGAGCUGCAAAGCCACGUGCAGACUCAUUAAGUGCUUCGGCCUGAAAUGGCACACGUCACUAAUGCCUGCGGUCUAUCAGCCAGAUUGUGUGUCGAAGGCAAGAUCAAGAGCAGGGCCGGCUUCAUGAGUGUGUGAUCACUCAGGGCGCUGGGCUCAGAAGGGCCCUGUGUUUGUUUUAAUGCUCUGCUGUCACUCUCUUGACAUUCUUAAUAACUGUUGAACAAGGGGCCCUGCAUUUUCAUUCCACAAGUUAUGCAGCCAGUCCCAGUUACGAGCCAGGAGCCAGACCUGUGAGAGGCCUGGGAAAUACAGAGGGGGCACUGAGACUCCCAGGGGGCAGUGGGCAUCUCAGUCAGAGAUCCUGCCAGUCAAGCCACAAUGCAGAGCCCUUCAUUUCCACCGUUAGGGCUCCAGCUCUUACGGCUCGUAGAACUCUUAGCUUCCCCAACAGUUUCAUCCCUUUUAGGUGAGAAGCAUUACAUAACAGUUCACGAAAUCUCAACGGGGUCUGCUCUGGUAUCCAGCCUCACAGCUAGAGUACUGAUUGGACAAAAACUUGUGAAAUGAAAAAAUCUUGAAGACAGAGGAAAGUGGAGGUAUGGGAUGGUAAGCGAAUACAGGAGUGCUAAAUCCUUAUCUUCUAUAGCAAGAGGUCGAGAGAUAAUGUUUCAUUGAUAGAUGGAGAAAGAACGGAAUUCAGCCAUUCAACAAAUACGUAACAGUGUCUGUCAUGUGCUAGGCAUCUUUGCAGGUGCUGAGGGAGAAACAGUAUAUGAUAAAAGAUCAAGAUCUCUGCCUUCAUAAAGCCUCUGCUACUUAGAAAUAUGGAGACACAUAGCAGAAGAAACGCUUAAAUAAAAGUGACUGACUCUGGGGAGGAAGGCUAAAGAAUGAGGAGGGGUAAUACAGGAGUAAAAAUGAAGACUUGUCGAGAAAAUGAUUGAAGGAGCGAAGAAUUAGACAUGGAUUAUGAGGAAUUUAGAAAUAAAAGUUUUAAGAAGCGUUUAAGUACUUCCCAUACGUGAGGCCAGGACACUCCAUAAAGCAUGGCUCAUGUUCUUUUGUAGUCUAUGAUAUUAGACUACUGGAAUAUCUAAGACAACACCUAGGCCAAGGCUGGGUAAGGAGAUUAAAAAAAAAUCAGGGCUGACACAGGCAGCUGAAAUCCUAACUCGGAAGACUCGGAAGCCUGGGAAGCACACUAGGAUUUAACCAUGGCUAAAGUUAAAACUAUUGCAGUCAUCUAAGAAAAUUUUGGAUGUUCCAGGUCCCUGUACCUAAGUGCCUAAUUAUAGAGAUAACAGGACUGAAAUUCAGGAAUGAAAUUUUGAUUAAAUUCUGAUAUACCUUUUACUACAACACACACACACACACACACACACACACACACACACACCAUAAAUUAUACUGAAUUUCUUGGCCUUGAGUACUUACCAUCUUCUCUAAUAAAAAGAUAUUCUUUUCAAACAAAUAGAGAGGUGUAAAGGUAGCAUAUACAACUACCUGAGGGGACUGUAUUGCUGAAGAACCUGUAAAACCAAACACAUACUGCGUCAUGGAAAUUCUAGACAAAAUGGAACUGGCAGGUCUUAGUAGACUGUUCAAAUUCCUUAAUGAACUUAUCUUUGCUGAUGAAAUAUAGGUAAAUAACUCUGCAUGCAUAUAAUAAAUGUUAAAUCUCAAAUGUACAUCUAUUUUAUAGAAUGUCUUAUCAGUUUUACCUUCACAAUAGUACCAUAUAAUUCAUUAAGAAAUCAUUUUACUUCAUUGUAAAACACUUAUUACAUAAACUCACUCUAGCUAUCUGUCAAUGUAACUUAGCUUUCAUAGAAUCUUUAUUUUGAAUUUAAGGAAUUCUGAGAGUUUCUGUGUCAUUUCAAAUAGAAAGAAAACAUAAAUAAAUUAAUCCUCCCAUGAAAAAUGGAAACUAAGAAGCCUUCUAGGACUACAGUCCCAAUUUUGAAGAAUGGAUCAAAGGAGAGGAGGAGCAGCAGGACAGUGUUGUAAUUUGGCUUGUGUGUAUUUACUUUACAAAAAGAACUGCAGAUUGGACCAACUGUGAAAACAAGAAAUAUAUAUUUGGACAAAAGACCUGGAAAAAGAAAACAUCUAUAAGGCAGAGGUAAAAUACUUCCUGUGUCAGAGUGAGAUUUGCUAACACUAAAACACAUCUCAAGUUCAGGACAAAAAACGGAUCGGAUCAGGCCUGUCAGUAGCAUAUACCAAGAGAGGACUGGACCACGCUCAAGCUCAAGCUCUCUCUCCUGUCCACGACCCUGAUGCCACAUCAAAGAGGGGAGAGCCCUGUGCGUCCACCUGCCUACCCAGCCCGCUUACCCGGGACGGGUGAGGCAGCAGAGGGCCACCCCUCCAUGGUCCUCGCAGCAUCAGUUUAAAAAGCACAGGGGACUGGCAUCACAGGGGAUACAACUGUGUUGUUUUUAAUCUCAAAUUACAUAUGCAGGACAUCCCCCCAGUAGGUACUCAGCGGAUAGCCUUCGUAAACUGCCUCAUCUUCCACUAGCUUCAUUAUCGGCAUGUAAGAAAACUAGAUUUCAAUAUUGAGAGACACACAAAUUUUUAAUGCAUGU